rnacentral:rRNA from 1 species
GACGAACGCUGGCGGCGUGCUUAACACAUGCAAGUCGAACGGAACACCCUUGACAGAGGUUUCGGCCAAUGAAGAGGAAUGUUUAGUGGCGGACUGGUGAGUAACGCGUGAGGAACCUGCCUUUCAGAGGGGGACAACAGUUGGAAACGACUGCUAAUACCGCAUAAAACAUUUGGGUGGCAUCACUUGAAUGUCAAAGAUUUAUCGCUGAAAGAUGGCCUCGCGUCUGAUUAGAUAGUUGGUGGGGUAACGGCCUACCAAGUCGACGAUCAGUAGCCGGACUGAGAGGUUGACCGGCCACAUUGGGACUGAGAUACGGCCCAGACUCCUACGGGAGGCAG